rnacentral:rRNA from 1 species
UACGAAGGGGGCUAGCGUUGCUCGGAAUGACUGGGCGUAAAGGGCGCGUAGGCGGUUCGUACAGUCAGACGUGAAAUUCCCGGGCUCAACCUGGGGACUGCGUUUGAUACGUGCGGGCUUGAGUUCGGAAGAGGGUCGUGGAAUUCCUGGUGUAGCGGUGAAAUGCGCAGAUAUCAGGAGGAACACCAAUUGCGAAGGCAGCUCGCUGGGACGUUACUGACGCUGAGGAGCGAAAGCGUGGGGAGCGAACAGG